rnacentral:lncRNA from 1 species
GUACUUGUAAAACUACCUUCACAAGAUUUCCUUGGUAAUUAUCAUUCAAUUCAAUAUUAACUAUCAGUGAGAUUUAUAGGCAGUGAUGAGACCCUUUAGGAAUGUAGCAACCAAAAAAAAAAAAAAAAAGGAAUGUAGCAACCAGCAUGCAUUUGAUCCUUACCAAAACUAUGCAGGACAUAUAGGUGAGCCUUCUGGGCUAAAGGUGAACAUUUUUCUGCUUCUAUCCCUCAUCAUUUCCCCCUGACCAUUCUUGGGUCCUUAAAUCUUUAAGGUUGUUGAAAGGCAAAGGGCUCAUCUUCUGUAGCUUAUUCACAGUGACAAGAAUUAUAGAGAUGUCCCUGCUUGUGGACCGAAAUUGAUCAUAAGCUGUCCCUACAAGGAACUAUUACGGAAGGCCAUUGCUAUAGAGUCUAGAGGGUACAUUGGGGUGAAUUUGUUUUGAGUAUUAAGAAUCAUCUAUUGGCUGGACAAAGGAGUGAGGAACUCUUUACAUGUAUCUCAACAAUAGGAGAGAACAAAGCAAAAGAGACAACAUGUUAGGAUUCAUUUAUAUAUUUAUUAUAAUAAAAAUAAGAAGUGUGAUAAGAUCCUUUAGGAUUGACCUAGUCUACCUCUCAACCAGGAAUUUAACCAAUCAUUAAGGUCUUUAAGAUAAUGUAGAGUCUUUAAGAGCCUGAUUUGGUUAUUUAUAUUUUUGUUAUAAUCUGGAAUGUAGACCCAACAUUCUACUUAAAUAAUGGCAUCUGUUCCUCCUGGUGCUGCUGUUAAGAUAUCUAAUACCAUUCUAUUUUGUAGAAUUGCUUUACACAUUUGAGUUACUUUAGUGUUUAAUAAUGCAAUGCUAUUUUGAGAGUCAUUUAAGGCCUUAAUUGUGUACUUAUCAAGGGCUUCCAUGUACCAUAUGAAAUUUCUAAAACUUUUGAUGGAAGACAAAUAGAUGUCAGAUGGUCAUACCAAUGGAACGCAGAUCGUGUCUAUCAUUGUUUUAGAUAUGGAAGAUGAACUGGACUUGUGCUAGUUUUAGUGUUACGGCUGUGAAUCCAGGCAUAACCAAAGUACAUCUUCCAAUCCAGCCUGGUGGAAGCCAUGGCCACAAAUUUGGCCCACAUAACCAUUGUGUUCCAUUAGGCGCUAGCCAUCUGACAUCUGGUUACCUUGUCUAGUCAGUAGCAAACCAAUUGGUUGCCUGUAAAAUGAUGGUAAAAUCACUGGCUUCUGAGGGGGGGUGGGGGGAGCCAUCCCAUUUGGCAAGUACUAUUGGACCAUGAAUCAAGGGUAUGGUUUUUCUUCUCCCAGCAUAAAAGGGUCUUUUGGCUUAAUUGUCCUAUUGUGGGAGUAAGCCAUAUAUAUCCAUCCUAUACCUCAUAUAAUCUUUCCUGGGUGCCUUGAUAGGAAGAACUACAUACUUGGGGAAUUUGUUGUCAUGAGCCUAUCUAUUUUGAUAGAUUGAGGGGUAGCUGGGUGGCUCAGUUAAGCAUCUGCCUUCGGCUCAGGUCAUGAUCUUGGGGUCCUGGAAUUGAGCCCUGUAUUGGACUCUGCUCACUGGGGAGUCUCCCUCUUGCUCUCACACUCUCAAAUAAAUAAAUAAUCUUUAAAAAAUUAUUUUGAGGGGAUCCCUGGGUGGCGCAGCGGUUUGGUGCCUGCCUUUGGCCCAAGGCGCGAUCCUGGAGACCCGGGAUCGAGUCCCACGUCAGGCUCCCGGUGCAUGGAGCCUGCUUCUCCCUCUGCCUGUGUCUCUGCCUCUCUCUCUCUCUCUCUGUCUGUGUGACUAUCAUAAAUAAUAAAUAAA